CGUCGCAUGUUAGAUAGUCCGAGAUAUAAUUUUCAGUUACAUAGAUAAACAAGACAAGACAUCCCCAAAGCCAUAAUCCAAAUCCAGUUACAUGGAUAAACAAAAUGAAGCAAGUCAACGGGUUAACAAAAUAAGCAGCUGAAAUCAGGUAGGAAACAACCAAAUGCCUGCUGCAUCUAUAACUCAUAUUACAGAUCUGUGCAAGUGGCGAACAAAAUCAGAAUCCCCAACAUACAGUACAAAGCAACAUCACAGUUCCAACCUUGCUCCAAAUCAGAUCUGCUACUUCUUCUUGGGGAGAUGGUAGGGGAGGCACCGCUCCAAGGAGAUGGGAGGGGAGGCGCGGCUGCUGCUUCUUCUUCGGGAGCGACGAGGAGAGCCGCUACCUGGAGUGCGCGACGGCGGCAACAGGCGAGGCCAGCACUGCUCGGGGUUGCAGAUGCGCUCGGGGCAUCUCACACAGCAAGGGCGGUUCGACGGAAAUCGUUCAGUUCACCGGUUUUCGACAAAACCAUCUGGUUCACCC
rnacentral:lncRNA from 1 species